rnacentral:rRNA from 1 species
UGGGGAAUUUUCCGCAAUGGGCGAAAGCCUGACGGAGCAAUACCGCGUGAGGGAGGAAGGCUCUUGGGUUGUAAACCUCUUUUCUCAGGGAAGAAUCCUGACGGUACCUGAGGAAUCAGCAUCGGCUAACUCCGUGCCAGCAGCCGCGGUAAUACGGAGGGUGCAAGCGUUGUCCGGAAUUAUUGGGUGUAAAGGGUGUGUAGGCGGACUUGUAAGUCAGAGGUGAAAGCCCGCGGCUUAACCGCGGAAUUGCCCCUGAUACUGCAAGUCUUGAGUCCUGGAGAGGUCGCUGGAAUUCGUGGUGUAGCGGUGAAAUGCGUAGAUAUCACGAGGAACACCAGAGGUGUAGACGGGUGACUGGACAGGAACUGACGCUGAGGCACGAAAGCGUGGGGAGCAAACAGGAUUAGAUACCCGUGUAGUCC